rnacentral:rRNA from 1 species
GAUGAACGCUGGCGGCGUGCCUAAUACAUGCAGUCGAGCGAAUGGACUAAGAGCUUGCUCUUAUGAAGUUAGCGGCGGACGGGUGAGUAACACGUGGGUAACCUGCCCAUAAGACUGGGAUAACUCCGGGAAACCGGGGCUAAUACCGGAUAACAUUUUGAACCGCAUGGUUCGAAAUUGAAAGGCGGCUUCGGCUGUCACUUAUGGAUGGACCCGCGUCGCAUUAGCUAGUUGGUGAGGUAACGGCUCACCAAGGCAACGAUGCGUAGCCGACCUGAGAGGGUGAUCGGCCACACUGGGACUGAGACACGGCCCAGACUCCUACGGGAGGCAGCAGUAGGGAAUCCUCCGCAAUGGACGAAAGUCUGACGGAGCAACGCCGCGUGAGUGAUGAAGGCUUUCGGGUCGUAAAACUCUGUUGUUAGGGAAGAACAAGUGCUAGUUGAAUAAGCUGGCACCUUGACGGUACCUAACCAGAAAGCCACGGCUAACUACGCGCCAGCCGCCGCAGUAA